GUUGUUUAGUUGAAAAUCAAUUAAAUAAUUUUUGAUUUUAAGUAGUAUUGACUUCAUCAGCUUGCUGCUUUCUUUUCGGAAAUUAUUUAAUGCACUUUUCAGUUAACAAGUCAACAUCAAUUUCUUUUGUUGUAAAAGGGUAAGAGGAAGGUGGCUUACAUUUCGGUGUAAGUGUUUAUAGCCUUUUACCUCUGCAAUCGGAGAGAUUGAGGUCAGCAGCGUAGACUCUUCGGGGUUAGAUACGCUUGUGCUAAGCUAUAGCCUUGUAUAGACAACUUGUUGACUAUACUCAGUCAUGUAGCUUACUCGCUUGCAGUAUUUUACCUAC
rnacentral:rRNA from 1 species